rnacentral:piRNA from 1 species
UUAAAUUCGCAGUGGCUGGAA